UGCUUAACACAUGCAAGUCGAACGGAAAGGCCCUGCUUGCAGGGUGCUCGAGUGGCGAACGGGUGAGUAACACGUGGGUGAUCUGCCCCUUACUUUGGGAUAAGCCUGGGAAACUGGGUCUAAUACUGGAUAGGACCAUGCUGUAGGUGGUGUGGUGGAAAGAUUUUUUCGGUAAGGGAUGAGCUCGCGGCCUAUCAGCUUGUUGGUGGGGUAAUGGCCUACCAAGGCGUCGACGGGUAGCCGGCCUGAGAGGGUGGACGGCCACAUUGGGACUGAGAUACGGCCCAGACUCCUACGGGAGGCAGCAGUGGGGAAUAUUGCACAAUGGGCGCAAGCCUGAUGCAGCGACGCCGCGUGGGGGAUGACGGCCUUCGGGUUGUAAACUCCUUUCAGCCAUGACGAAGCCCUUGUGGGGUGACGGUAGUGGUAGAAGAAGCACCGGCUAACUACGUGCCAGCAGCCGCGGUAAUACGUAGGGUGCGAGCGUUGUCCGGAAUUACUGGGCGUAAAGAGCUCGUAGGUGGUCUGUCCGCGUCAUUUGUGAAAGCCCGGGGCUUAACUCCGGGUUGGCAGGUUGAUACGGGCAUGACUGGAGUACUGUAGG
rnacentral:rRNA from 1 species